rnacentral:tRNA from 1 species
AAAAAUUUAGUUAAAAUAUAACAUUAACUUGUCAAGUUAAAAUAAUUAAUUAAUUUAAUAAUUUUUA